rnacentral:lncRNA from 1 species
AUGUGCAAGGCCCACUCGCUAGAACUGAAGACAUUUAUGGAAAAUAAGUUAUCAUUGAAGUUAAAUGGAGGCAGAUAUAUACAAGGAAUAUUGCAGGGCUUUGAUCCCUUUAUGAAUCUUGUGACUGACAAAUAUGUGAAGAUGGCAAUUAGUGGGCAGCAGAAUAAUAUUGGAUGGAUAACAGGAAAUAGCAUCAUCAUGUUAGAAGCCUUGUAA